AAGCAAGAAAGCAAGCAGCAAUAUCAAUAUUUUUCAUGAUCAUGGAGAGGUAAUUCUUCUAUUUUUAACAUUUUCAAUUUUUGAUUUUAUUUUCUUAUGUAGACCAUCCUGUCAUUUAAUAUUGUUUGUGCAGUUUGAUGAAGAAGUUGCUACUGUUGGUGAUGUUUAUCGUAGUUGUUGGAUCAAUUACACUUUCUCUGGAGGUUGCAGUUGCAGGGAAGGAUCUUGAAGAUGGAAGGAAAGGGAAAUUUGGGAAUCUUCAUGCAACACUUGCAGAGUAUAAAAACAAAAAAAUGGUUUUUAGCUCAGAAAAGAUGGUUGAAGAGAGAAUGCCAAGAGGUAUAGUACCUCCAUCAGGUGGAAGCCCAUGUACACACAUUGCUAGAGGUUCUGGUCACUGUAUCCAUGGUUGAUUAGGUAGUGUUUGAAGGACGUGUUUGGCUUGUUUACAAUUAAUAAUAAUCUGGUCACUGUAUCAGGUGUUGAAUUAUCUAUACCCGGUCGAGGGCGCAUUAUGUUCGAAUUAGAUUAAUGAAAAUAAAUUUUUUUUCUUUUCGAAACGAGAGUAUUUCUAAACGUUCAUUGAAAAAGAUAAUAAAGUUAAAACAAUUUUUUCACACAAUAAUUAGUUUUCAACUUAAUAUUAAAUUUUUUUUAAAAAAAUUGUAAAAUUGCAAGCAUGAAUCUCUUUUGAAGUCUAAUUAACAUUAAAAAAAAAAAACUUUCCUUAAAAGCUGAAGGCAAAUUAAGUAGCACAUCCAUAGAUCAUGCAUGGGAAGGUAAUUAAGUCAUCUUUUCUUAAAUCAAAAAUUUUUUUUUGUUACUAUUCUAUGUACAAAUAAAAAGUUGUCCAGUAGCUAUAAAUUAUAGCAUUAACAAGUAUAAGAGUACUAGGCAAUUGAUGAAUGAACUUGCAGGAUGAAAAUCACAAAUUUGUUCACUGUUUAAAAAAUAAGGAUAAAAAUAUUCAAAAAAGAAAAAGGAUAAAUGCGCUGUUAAACUUUUGUUUCAAAAUGACUCGUUUUUCAAAUUAUAAUUUUUUAUUAUUAUCAUUUUAGGUCAGAAACUGUUUCAAAAUGACACGUUUUUCAAAUUAUACUUUUUUAUUAUUAUCAUUUUAGGUCAGAAACUGGGUUAAAUACAAAGUCUAUUAGUAAUUUAUACUCCAUUGAACAAUCAAUCAGAGGUGAUGUAGCUCAAACGGUAGAGCGCUCGCUUUGCAUGCGAAAAGCACGGGGUUCGAUACCCCGCAUCUCCAAGUCACAUUUUUUUCCUAAUUUAGUUUUUAAAAAAUUUUUUGGCUAUAAGACUACAAACCACAUGGAAAAACAUAGUAAGAAACUUAGAUUAUCUGAUAAUGUACUCAUUUUCAUAAUGUGAAAUUGUGAAUUAAUGGUCAGAAAAAAGUAGAAAAAUAUUAUGCAUGCUAUAACAAGCAAAGCAACCCACAAAAGUAGAGAAAAUACCGUAUAACAUGCAUCUAAUAAUUCUUUUAAUUAACAAAUUACUCCAGAGAUGGUAGAAUUUGUUUUUCAAAUCAGACUUAGUGUUUAUCAUAUAUAUAACAAAGUUGAUUUAGACCUUUUCAUUCGUGCUAAACCAUCAGUAGUAAUAAUGAUAAUACUAAUAUACUUCCAAUUUUCAGUCUUAAUUACUAUAUUUGAUUUGUCAUAUGUUAAUAAAUAAGUAUUAGAAUGAAUUGUUCAACACUCUUUCUUCUUUAAGUGAGUUCAAUGGUUUAAUUGUAGAUGGAGCAAAUAUUCGAAGGACUUUGAUUUUGUCAUAAUUUUCCGUUAUUGCCGUGUAAUUUGAGUAAAAAAAACAUAUGAUGAUAUUAAAGUUAAAUCUACACUUAUGGAGAAAAUUUUCCGUCACUGUGGAAAAAAAUUUUACAUUGGUGACAUUCCAACUCAGAUAUACACUCAGAAAUUAGUGGAAGCAUGCCAAAAGUUGGAUUGUCCUUCGUACCAUCGACUGAUAAAGCAAAAUAUAUUAAUUUUUCAGACUAAAUUAUUUUAACAUCUAUGGCUUUACUCUUCUCCAAGUCUUUUUAAGUGCUAGGUUUCAUUUCCUCGCAAUUCACAUCAGGGUAAAUUAUUUUUCUGACAAUAUAUAGAUACAGUCUUAACUGUUCAUUGUUGUGCAGUUUGAGAAUGAAGUUGGUAGUGUUGGUAAUGAUUGUUGUUGGAUUAAUCAUAUUUAGUGUUGAAGCUGAAGGAAGGAAAGAACAAAUUAGCAGUUGGAGGACUAUCAAAUUUGUUAUUAUAUGUAAUAGGAAGUCAAUCACCCAGAGUCAAUACGAUCUAUAUUUUAAUUUAGUUGAUUGAGCAUUAUUGUGGCGACUGGAGAAAAUUUACAUUGAUACAGAAAUUAGUGGAAGAUUGCAAAAAUGAUUAUUUUAAUUUAGCCUUCAGGAUUGACUUGGACUAAUUAAGCAAAGAAAAGAUGUUUUUAAGUACUAAGUAAUUGCUUUCCUUGAAAAUGCAUUUUGAAGAAAAGAUGUGACUCCAAGUAUUUAAGUACUAGACUUCAUUACCUCUACCUUCAUCAAGUUAUUUUCGAACCACCAGGGCAAAAUCAUCAACAUAGAUACAGAAAUUAUCAUGAAGAGGUAAUUCUUUUUUUUUUUUGCUACAAAUUUAUCGGCUUUUUUUUGCUGUUAUGUUUGACAUAAUUUUGCUCUAUUUCCCUAAUUAAUUGAAGUUAUACAAUUUGUUGUGCAGUUUGAGCAUGAAACUGCUAAUCCUAGUCUUGAUCGUUGUUGGAUCAAUCUCAUUCAGCGUUGAAGCUCAAGGAAGAAAAGAAAAAAUUAGAUAUUGGGGCACUCGCAAAAUGGUAUAUGAAGAGGGAAAAAAACACAUCAUGGUAAAGUUGAAAAAAGAUGAAAACUUGCGACUUGGUUUGAAGCUAAUGGGACUCGUGUAUUCUAGUUCUCAAUCCUCCCCUAGUAUCUCUAGACCCGCCGGAAGUGGUUGAUUAUGUAGUCGAGAGAAGAAGAAGAAGAUAGGGAAGCUUGUAUUCAAAUUUUUUGAGAUUUAUUUCUAAAAAAAAAAUUAUAAAUUUCCUAAAUAUUAACGAAAUAAGAAUGUUUUAUGCUUUAUUUAAUAAUUAUUUUUAUUUAAAAUAUAUAAUACGUUUGAGUAUAGGGGAAGAGAAAUCUUUUUGUUUGGGAAAACUUCAUCACAUCACAUAGUAACAGUGGAUUAAAUCAAAAUGUUUCUUCUUUUUUUUUUUUUUUUUUUGAAAAAUAAAUAUUUAUGUUAAACUCUCUGCAGGACCUGUCCAAAAUUCACAGUUGUCUAAUCCUUGACCAACUGUUUUCACCGGGUGAUAAUUUUGGUUUUGUAAUUUCCUGUUAAUCACAAAUUUGGAUUUUAAUUGACAAUUUAUCAGUAUGUAAAUGAUUCAAAUUCUUAACUACACUACUAAAUAAAUAAAUUAUAUUCGAACAAUUAGUUUAGAAUUAUAAAAGCAUAGGAGUUUAUCACAAUAAGCAUUAAGGGUUCAUUUGCAUUAGUUGUUAAUACUAGAUGGUAACUGGUGGCUGAUGGCUCAUUAGUGAUAAAGGUGUUUGAUAAAAUUUUAGUAAUCGUUGAACACAAGGUAUGUAGCACCUUUAAAAUUUGAUAGGGACCAUUUUAUGUCCUUCAUGAGUAUCCCUAGCACAAAUACAGAGAAGUCGGCUCAGUAGACUUUGAAUAUCAGAUGGUUCCCAUAAAAAAGAAAAAGGAGAAUACAAUUUAUAGGGAGACAUAUAUAGCAUUAGUAAGACACCCUAUUUACUAUGCAUAGAUAAGAAAAAGGUACGAAAUUUGUUUUAUUUAUUAUUUACUUUGUCAAAAUUUUUAUUUUUUCAUGUAAUUGCUUUUCUAUAACACAUAUUUUUUUUUAAUUUUUUAAGGUGAAUGUAUUUUUUAUUUGAAUGUAUUAUAUAAAUCAUAUUAAACAUUUUAAAAUUAUAUUUAAUAGAAAAUUAUUAUUUUUUAAAACAACUACAAGUAAAAUGAUUAAAAGAUAUUAAUUUGAAAAAAAUAAUUUUAUUAGUAAUUAUUUUUGUGAGUUUAAUGAAGUUCAAAUAUAAUAUAAAUGCAAAAUAAGAUAUUAAAUGAUAAGAAAAAUUUCUAAAACAUACUGAUGGAAUGAAUAGCAAUUAGAUAGCUGAUUGAAAAGCUUAUCAAACACUUAUAAUCUACCUAUUUUAUACAAAUUAGUUAUUAGCUUCAUUAAUCAGCUGAAUUAAAUGAAACCAUAAUUUAAAGUAGGAUGUUUAGAUAGAGUUGCAAGCCAAUAAUAUAUAAAUAAUCGCAGACCCCGCUUUUAAAAUAGCUACAAGAUAAAUAUAUAAAUAUAAUUUUUGAAAUUUAAAAGAAGUAAAUGUCGAAAAGAGAAAAAAAAAAUAAAAAAUUUAUAAGAUCCACUUAUAUAUUUAUAUAUUUAUUAUUAGUUUAUCAUUGAGGCAAGAUGCUCUAUAUGAAAUCUCGGUCGUAAUUUAUAAACUGUCCUUAAUUUAAAUUCAUUGAACUUCUUAAUAUUUUAAAAUAAAUUGUCUUUGAUUUGAGUUUUAAAAAUUAAAAAUAUGUAAUCAAAUCAAACACUCUUUACGUAGCCUUUUACGCGCUUUCUUUGGUCAAAUUUGUAAAAAAAAAAAAAAAUUAAUAAAGUAUGGAUAUUUGGAGGGUUGACUUGGACCAACAAGGCGUGGGUUCAGGGAUAGCCAAAAUCUGAUUUUCGGAACCAGAAUCGCCGAUUUCGAACCGGUGAGAAUCGGAAUUGAAAUCCGAACCAGUGAAAAUCGGAACUAGAAUCGGUCCGAACCGUUAAAAGUUGUUAGCUAGUAGAGUUGUUAGCUGUUUUAGUAGUUUUUCAUGAAACGUUAGAAGUUAAAUGUUAUAUGAGUUAACUUUUCAUAAAAUAUUAUUUUAACCUCUAAAAAUUAGUUAAAAAGCUAUGUUACCGAACAUUUUUUUAAGUAGUGUUUAGUGUUUUGACCAGCCAAAAAUACUAAAAAUUACUUGAAAAGUUGUUACCAAACACAAACAUUAGGCGUGGUUAGUAUAAUUUUUGAAUAAUAAUUAUAAUAUUUUUUUUUAAUUUUUUCAUAAAUAUUUAAUCAAUUUAAUUUUACAAAUAAAGUUUUCGAUAGAAUAAUUUUUUAUAAAUUUAUGAUUUGAAGAAUACAAUAGAUACCUGUAAAAUUUAAUAUGUGAUUCGCUUCAACGCAUAAACUUCUGAAAUAUUUUUAUAUAUUUGGCCNNNNNNNNNNNNNNNNNNNNNNNNNNNNNNNNNNNNNNNNNNNNNNNNNNNNNNNNNNNNNNNNNNNNNNNNNNNNNNNNNNNNNNNNNNNNNNNNNNNNNNNNNNNNNNNNNNNNNNNNNNNNNNNNNNNNNNNNNNNNNNNNNNNNNNNNNNNNNNNNNNNNNNNNNNNNNNNNNNNNNNNNNNNNNNNNNNNNNNNNNNNNNNNNNNNNNNNNNNNNNNNNNNNNNNNNNNNNNNNNNNNNNNNNNNNNNNNNNNNNNNNNNNNNNNNNNNNNNNNNNNNNNNNNNNNNNNNNNNNNNNNNNNNNNNNNNNNNNNNNNNNNNNNNNNNNNNNNNNNNNNNNNNNNNNNNNNNNNNNNNNNNNNNNNNNNNNNNNNNNNNNNNNNNNNNNNNNNNNNNNNNNNNNNNNNNNNNNNNNNNNNNNNNNNNNNNNNNNNNNNNNNNNNNNNNNNNNNNNNNNNNNNNNNNNNNNNNNNNNNNNNNNNNNNNNNNNNNNNNNNNNNNNNNNNNNNNNNNNNNNNNNNNNNNNNNNNGAAGGAGAGCAUUCCGGUGGUGGACCAAGUCCUUAUACCCAUAUUCCCCGUAGGGAAAGUUGCCCCGAUGGUGGACUAAGUCCUUAUACCCAUAAUUUCGAAGAAAAAACAAGUCCUGCUACCCAGGUUGCCCGUAGGGAAAGUUGUCCCGGCGGCCAUGGUUGAUUGUUAAGUAAUAGAUAGGAAUAUGGAAAGAUUAAUGUAAUAAUAUAGCUAGAGUAUUAAUUAUUAAUUUUUUAUAUAUUGAUAGAGUUGAAAUUAAAUAAAAUUGAUAGUAAUAUCAUUAGUAUGACUAUUCUUAUUACUGACUCAACCCAAUCCGAUCUAAUUAUAACUAACCGGACCUGUUUAGUAGCAAUAUAUUUUUGCUACUAUUUUGUUUUUCUUAUAGUGACAACUAAUUCUUUUCUUUUUUUUGUUUUUUAAAACUGCAACCUAUUAAUUGACUAUAGACUCUAACCUUCUUAAAAAAUUUAUUUCUCAUAUGGCUUAUUACUUAGAUCAACAAGUUGUUGAUGAUACUUAUAUUAUUUUCGACUCAUGAUAUUGACUCAAGAUAAGAAUAGUAAUUGACUAAAUAAUAAGUCCACAUUUAAUUCAAAUAAAUUCUGAAAUAUUUUUUAAAACUUAAAUUUUACAAAGUUCAUCUAAUUAAGCUAAAUCAUAUAGUUCAUAAAUAAAUUUUAUAAUUAUUUCCAUUAACACCAAACAAGGGCUGGUAUCAAUAGAACCUGCAAUUUGGAGAAAACAAAAGAUACUGGAAGCUAAGAAAUUAUUAACCAAGUACUCAAACAUACUUAUUUUUUUUGAGUAUCUGGAGAGAGAGAAUUCGAAUCUGAAUCUAUUAUCUUGUUAUAUAUGCAUUUAUUAUUAGAUUAUAUCUUGGUGUGUGAGUAUCCAAAUAAAUUAAAAAUGGAUACAGAUAGAUAAAAUUUAAAUAAAAUUCAGGUACAAUUAAUUUAAACAUUUACAAUAUCCAUAUCGCUUCCAUCUCUGUGCCCUAUCUCGUAAUUCGUGCUUGGAAUUGAGGCUCUGUGAUUUUAUAUCAUAUCACGUCUCUUUUGAUUUGACUUUCCAAUAAUUUUGUUUCUUGAUAAAUACUUUUCUUAACUCUUAGUCCUUAAAAUAACAAUUUCACUAUUGUAAGCAAAUGCAGUGACUUUUAUGCUUAAAAUGGAAAAUCAUAUAUGUUCCAAUUCAUAACUAGAGAUUUUAGAUUUUAAUUUGCCAAGAAAAAUUACAAGCUAAAAUAGGUCCUACUCAGUAAUUUUAGUCUUUUAGGCAAAUUUUUUCUCCGUCUCUUUCUUUCAAAACUUAAAAACUCUGUUCUAUUUUUCCGCGGGCGCUUACCGGUGAGCUCUUGCUAGUGGUUACUUUUUUUCCUUUUUUUGUUUGUUUUUUACAAAUAAUAUACAAACUUGAUUUAUUGUCAUUCAAAUAUUGAAAUUUAUUAUUGCUCAUAUCUUGAGAUUUUAUUUUUAGAUCUAGUUCUAAGUUAUUGUUAUCACCAUUAUGUGAUUUUGUCUAGCGUUUUUUAUUAUUUAGAUAAUUAUACAGAAAGAAAUGAGAUUGGACUUGUAAAGGACCAUCGAAUCGAGUAGUGGCCAUGAAUAGCACUAAGUGGAGCGAGCGAUCGCCUAGACAUAAAUAUGAUACUCUGUCAAUUCGAUUAGAUACUUUAAAUCAAUAUUGUAUUUUUUUUUAUUUUUUGUAUAAAUAGUUUAUUAUUAGAUUUUUUAUACAAAAAUAUAAAAACAUAUUGAUCAUUACACUCAUAUUUGUAUACAAUUCCCUAUUAAUGAAAUUUUAAUUUGAUUUAUUCUCAAAGGUCCUACUCUAUUGACUUGGACUAACAAGUCUUUUGAUGUUACUCCAAGUGGUUUAAGUACCAGGCUUCAUCACCUGCCUUCCCACAUCAAUUUAGAACCAAUUAGGCAAAACCAUUCUCUCAUACAGAAAUUAUCAUGAACAGGUAAUUUUACUUUUCUUCUGGUUGUUUUUAAUGCAUUUGCUUUCCCCUCAAACAAAAAAAAGCUUUGGAAUAGGUAAUAUAGCAAGUGAAUUAAAUGUAAAAUUUUGAAUAUUUAAUUUAUGAUGGUGGAAUUUGGUUCAUUAAAUCAAUAUUUGAUUGUCUGAUCUACAUUUUUAAGACAAUCAAUUUCACUAAAAAUGAGAUUGGAGGUAAUUAAAUUGAAAAAAAAAAAUGAAUUCUAUUGUUUUUUUUUUUUUUACAUAAUUGCAUUUUAUUUCGCACUUAAAUAUAUGAAUAAUAUAAUUAAUUAACGUUUAACCCAUCGCCGUCUAGUCCUAACGCUGUGCCAGCUGGAAAUCCGCCUAGUCCGCCGGAUUCUGGAACUAACCAACCAAGUCCGCCGGAUUCUGGACCUAACCAACCAAGCAAUCCAAGCCCACCGCAAUUUAGUUCUCCUCCUCCGCCUGAUUCUAAUCUCAUUAUUCCUCCGCCGCCCCCAGCGCCAGAACCGAUAUUAUUGUUGUCUCCGCCUCCGCCAGUCGCGCCGGCUAUAACUGGAGCUCCGCCGCCAUCGUAUAAUCCGCCGAGUAGCACGGAGUUGGUGACUCCAGGUCCUGUGCAUGCUUAGCCACUUGGUCAAAGGUUUUAUCUUUUUUUUAUAUAUAUAUUUUGUAUUUUCAAUUGUCAGUUUCCUUUUUUAGGAUAAAAUUUUGAUGGGGUUGUACAGAGGUGGUAUUUUGAUUGUUUCUUAUUUUUCAAUUUUUGGUUUUGAAUUGUAAUGGUGGAUUGCGGUCACUAUUCUUGAAAAUUUGUUGAAUUUAAAUUUAUGAUCUUUAUUGAUCUGAUUAUCAAACAAAUGUGUAUGCAUAUUUUUCCCAUAUUUUCUUUUUUUUUUUUCCCCUAUUAUCUUUGCUGUGAAAAGUUAAUUUUGCAACACCCUGUGUUCUUCGUAUUGACUACUGUGGGAAAUUUGAUAUUGAGGUGAUAUUGUAAUUUUUCACCUUAAAUCAGAUUUAUCAAUGGAUAAAGAGUUGAGAUAUUGCUAUUGAUGAUUCAAGUAGUUGAUGGGCUGCAAAUUAGCAAUCUGGCUUUGCUAUUCAUUCUCAUUUCAGAUGAUUGAAAUCAAAUGAUAUUAUCUUACUCUGAAGACGCCAUCGAAGAACAAUUGGGCAUUCUCCUCUUCAUUUUAUGGAUAAUCCAAAAAUUCUGUAACGAUUGCUAAUUGAUAAUCAUGUAAGAGAUGGGUAAAAAUAUCUAAAGUCAGGAGUUUCAGCAAAAUCUGCAAUUCUUUAGUUUCUCAUCUCUAUCACAGGUUGGUUUGGGGGAUCAAGAUUGCAGCUUGAAGCUGUGCAGCAAUAUUAGCAAUACAUGGAAGAACUCUUGCUGGGAAUUUAUGGAGGUAAAAUAUUUUGAAGCCUUUCUUGACAUAAUUAGAUAUUGCUGAUAUUAUAAAGUAUUUUCAUCACAUGGAGCUGAGGCACCUUGUUUCACAAUCAAAGAUGUUUUAGUUUCUUUCAUGAAAUUAAGCAUAGUACUGAUUGGUGCAUUAUUGGAAUAAGUCAUCAUAUUUGUAUACUGAAAGCUUACUCAAGUCUUCUUUUUAAAAAGAAUCUGCAAGUUGUAGCGCUCUAAUAGUAAAUUGUUGCUUUGACGUAUUUGCAGCUGCUGAUAAUAAGUGUAUUUUGGAAAUCCAGUUCCCAGUAGGAAAUGUUCUGCUUCGUGGCAGAAAUCUUAUACAGAGAUAAGAAGAAUAGAGCUCCAAAAGCUAUUGUGGUGAGUCUAAUAUUUGUGAUAUGCCCUCGAAACUUCCGUUGAAGUUUGAUGUGUUCAAGCAAUAUGGAUUUUUCUUUAAAAUUUUUUAAACAAAAUUACCACUGGUAAGAUUCUUCUGAUCGUCAAUAUGGCAUGCAAUUGUCUUUGUCGAAUGCAUUAGUUCCCUAUUUCUAGGUCAUAUUGUAAUGUUAUAUCCCAUGUUUUUGUGGGCACCAACCCUGUGCUUUCGAUGAAGUAUUUUUAGAUAUCUACGAAUCAUAUCUAAACUACGUGCAGACAUAAGAAUGAUAUCCGUGGUAUGAUUUUUGCUGCCAGUUGAUCAAACUCCUACAUUCUGCUUCAUGUGAAAAUGAGCAAUAGCUUGUUUGGUACUAGAUAAUGGACAUAUAAAAUAUAAUGUAAUGUAGGCUCCGUUUGUUUCCGUAAAAUAAUUUGCAGGAAAAUAUUUUCUAUAAUUUUCUGUUAUUUGGGGUACUUAGGAAAAUAUUACAGCCAAACAACGGAAAAUAUUACAACCAAAAUAUUGCUUAGGGAAAUAUUUUUAACUAAUUUUCAAUAUUACAACCAAACAACGGUAAAUAAGUUAUUUGAAAAAUUAUUUUCAGCAAGUUAUUUUCCUGCAAGUUAUUUUAUGGAAACAUAUGGAGCCGUAAUCAAAAGUGUUGUUUGCAUUAGAUUCUAUUACAAUGUACCAAAUAUAGUUUACCAUGUGUUGGGUUAGCUUGUUAUGAGAAAUUGAGGUCACCAAACAAGGAAUUUAUGGAGGGCUGAGAAGAAAACUCAGAUAUAAUUUGAAGUUGAACUAAUAGCAACCAGCAAUGGCAAGGUAACAAAAGCAUUAGACUUCAUAUCCUCCCCUUCCUUUUUGUUUUAAUGUUAAGUGGCUUGUACAGUUCUUGAAGCAAGAGUUGAAUACUUGUUCUUGAUGUUUCUUCGUCUUCUUCUUCUUUAGAAAAGAAGAGCACAAAAGAAAAGGAAAGAAAAGAUGAAGUUCUCUUAAUUGAUAAUGAAGUUGCUAGUCAUAGUGAUGUUUAUUGGUAUUGGAUUGAUCUCAUCAUUUUCUCUUCAAGUUGAAGCUGAACAAUUUGUUUGGCAAAAGGGAAAGAAAGAGAAAUUUGGGAAUCAGGCACCUAUAAAAGAUGAACAUUCUGGAAGAACUAGAAACUUUGCCAAUGAAGAUAUGGAGGGAAACCAUAUGAUAACAAAUUGGAGAAUAUACAGAAACCUGCUUGCUGGUUCAAAGAAGGAUGUGCCGAUGAUUAAAUGUACUCAAAGUCUUCAUCUUUAUCCAGUCGCAGUAGAAUUGAUGGGCAUGGGUAAUUCUUUGGUGAAUUUGGUUUAAAUCAAAUCAAAUCAAAUCCACACAAACUCUAUGCAGGUUUUAAUUAUAUUUGAAUAGAUUUAAAUUUAGUUUUCAGAUUUAAUAGAAAGACUUUGAUUCAGCAAUAAAGUUUUUUUUCUAAUAAUAAUUUUAAUAUGAUACUAUUAAUUUAGAUUAAUCAUUAAUCUGUAUUCAAGUACAAUAUAUGAAAAAUUCAUGUAUUUAAAAAUUGUAGAGUAUACAAUUUUUUUAUACGAACAAAAAAGGAUAUUUUUUUUAUCAACUUUCACACAUUGAAACUAAAUAUAUUUUUAAAAUGAUUAAAAUAUAUUUCGAGUAUUUCAUAUUUUUCAGAAAAUGUAUUUUCAUAUUUGUGCCUAAUGAUUAAAAAAAUCCAUUUUUUUUUUUUUUUUAAAUUUACGUAAAAACAAUGUUUGUUUUAUUUGGUCCCCUAAAUUUUUGAAAAAUAAUUUUUGCCUUCUAAGUUUUAUUUUUAGCACCGCCACUAUAUUUGUCAUAUAGUAAUAAUGACAAUAAUUGUGGAGGUCAUUGCUGGAUUGACUAAUGAAAAAGUGAAAACAGUGCUUAUGGCAAUGGCAGCUUCCUCGAAAUUGUUUAUUCAACAGUAAAAAUCUAUUGAUCUUUCUAAAAAAUAAUAAAAAAAAUUAUAUAUUGAUGCCUAUAUAAUGUGAAUAUUUCAGUAUAAUCUUCAUAAGCUUUGUGGGAAGCAAGAAAGCAAGCAGCAAUAUCAAUAUUUUUCAUGAUCAUGGAGAGGUAAUUCUUCUAUUUUUAACAUUUUCAAUUUUUGGUUUUAUUUUCUUAUACAGGCCAUCUUGUCAUUUAAUAUUGUUUGUGCAGUUUGAUGAAGAAGUUGCUACUGUUGGUGAUGUUUAUCGUAGUUGUUGGAUCAAUUACACUUUCUCUGGAGGUUGCAGUUGCAGGGAAGGAUCUUGAAGAUGGAAGGAAAGGGAAAUUUGGGAAUCUUCAUGCAACACUUGCAGAGUAUAAAAACAAAAAAAUGGUUUUCAGUUCAGAAAAUAUGGUUGAAGAGAGAAUGCCAAGAGGUAGAGUACCUCCGUCAGGUGCAAGCCCAUGUACACACAUUCCUGGAGGUUCUGGUCACUGUAUCCAUGGUUGACUAAGUAGUGUUUGAAGGACGUGUUUGGCUUGUGUACAAUUAAUAAUAAUCUGAUCACUGUAUCAGUUGUUAAUUUAUCUAUGCCUAGUCUAUGCCGCAUUCUGUUCGAACUAGAUUAAUGAAAAUAAUUUUUUUUUCCUUUAGGAACGGGAGUAUUUCUAAACAUUCG
rnacentral:lncRNA from 1 species